rnacentral:rRNA from 1 species
GAGUGCGGGAGAGGCAAUCGGAAUUCUCGGUGUAGCGGUGAAAUGCGUAGAUAUCGAGAGGAACUCCAGUGACGAAGGUGGGUUGCUGGACCGACACUGACGCUGAGGCGCGAAAGCUAGGGGAGCAAACGGGAUUAGAUACCCCGGUAGUCCUAGCCCUAAACGAUGAGUACUUGGUGUGCGAGUUUUAAGUACUCGCGUGUCGUAGCUAACGCGAUAAGUAUUCCGCCUGGGGAGUAUGGUCGCAAGAUUGAAACUCAAAGGAAUUGACGGGGACCCGCACAAGCGGUGGAGCAUGUGGUUUAAUUCGACGAUACGCGAGGAACCUUACCUGGUCUAGAAUGUGAGGGAAUGAUGCAGAGAUGUGUCAGUUCGCAAGAACCCGAAACAAGGUGCUGCAUGGCUGUCGUCAGUUCGUGCCGUGAGGUGUUGGGUUAAGUCCCGCAACGAACGCAACCCCUAUCGGUAGUUGCCAGCGAGAAAGUCGGGGACUCUACCGAAACUGCCUACGCAAGUAGGAGGAAGGUGGGGACGACGUCAAGUCAUCACGGCCCUUACGACCAGGGCGACACACGUGCUACAAUGGGCGGUACAGAGGGUAGCGAGGUGGUGACACUGAGCCAAUCUUGAAAGCCGCUCUCAGUUCGGAUUGCAGGCUGCAACUCGCCUGUAUGAAGCUGGAAUCGCU